rnacentral:lncRNA from 1 species
ACAUCAGCAAUGCUGAGCAGGUUUCUCCAGCUGUUAAGAUAUUUCAUGCUGGAACAGCUUUGGAUGGAGAUGGCAACCUUGUCGCUGUUGGAGGUCGAGUUCUCGGUGUCACUGCAAAGGGCAAGGACAUUGAAGAAGCACGGGAAAGAGCAUACGCUGCAGCAGAUGUUAUUGACUGGCCAGAAGGAUUCUUCAGGCAUGAUAUUGGUUGGAGGGCACUGAAACACAAGCAGAUUGCUAACUGAUGAUGAGGUUUUUCUGAAGCACCAAAACUACGGCGUGCUUGUGGUGUCAAGUGAAAUAAAGAGAUAUUAGUGUAACAGCGCUUCCGAAGCAUAACUGCUGGAGCAGUAGCAUGUUCAGAUUUGAGCAUAUUUUGAGCAUGGCGUGGUUAUUAACCUUCUUGUAGUGGUCUUGUAUUUUUCUGAAGGCAAAGUAUCUAACUCUUGAGGUGCAAUCAUGCAAUCAGCUAUUGGGAUGAACAUGACCAUAUGAACUCUGGGAAGCGUUCCUUAUCCUCAAUCAUGUUUACGAAUUUCCUGUUGAGUUAUUUAAUCGACUGGGUUAAGGACACAUCUGAUUCCAUUCAGUGACAUUAUACACAAACAGAGGUUCACGCCAAUGACCACAUAGCUGUACAAGGACCAACUUCACAGUGACCACUGAGCUGUAUAAGGGGUGAAAAGAUACAGCGAAUAGUUGAUACAAAAAUCCAGUAGACGACUCUGUUUGAGAACAACCGAGGAUGCCCAUCUCUAUUGCUAUUGGAGCAUUCCUUGGCAACAGUUCUCUCAGAGGUGAACAUAGCAUUCUCUCUUGCCAUUGCUAUUUUAAGAGGUUGGUGCUCCGACCAUUUGUCCCAAUCUGCGUGUUCAAUUUACAAUUGAAACAUGUAAAACAUUCAGGUAUGCUAUUAUCAAAAUAAAAAUAGAAAAUAGAGCUGCACACUGGAAUGCUCACAAUAGCAAACUUUUAUAGUGACCACAUAUAUACAUAGCUGUAGAAGGGGUGAAAAGGAUGAGGCAAAUAGUGAAAGAAUCCACUAGAUGAGCUCUAUUGGAGAACAGCCGAGGCUGCCGUGCCCAUCUCCAUUGCUCCGGAGAUUCCUUGGCAACAGUACUCUCACAGGCGAACUGAAUGUUGUCCUUUUAUUAUUAUUACCAUUUUAUGUACCUUUGCUAUUUCAGACCAAAAUUAGUCCUCCAACAACUUGCUCCGAUCUGUGUGUUGAAUUUACAAUUGAAAUAUGUAAAACAUUCAAGUAUGCAUCUUUGCCUUUGCAUCCUCUGGAAGUUGCAGUUUCUAUAAGCUUUAAUGAUUAAAGCAAUUUGUGAUAGUGGAACUGUUAGUUUGCAUGACUCCUGAAGUUACUGACACUGCAAGCCCUGAAGCCAUGCAUCAUCGACCCAUGAUAGGAACUCUUGGAAAAUCUUUUCCUUGAUGUUUUUGACCCUCCUUUAUUUUGAUAAAGCUGUUCAAUUCAAGUCCCUAUCCGGAUGCUUUAAAGCUUUGGGAAUCGAAACGUUUUCUAAGACUGCCAAGUACCUUUUUUUGUUUUCUUUUCCUUACUUUCCCUGAAACCAAAGUUCCAGUCAAGAAUCUUCGGACAGAUCAUUACUAAACCCGCUGGUGACAAAAUUUUGCUCAAGUAAUACAAAACGCUGUGAAGUAGCACUGGUAGUACAGAACUGAGCAUAAACAAGGAUUAGUGUAAAGGAGAUGACAAUGGAUGGUGGCUGAAGAUUACCAGGAGAUUACAAAGGGCCAAAGCUAUGACAGAAAGGACUACUGUUACAUUUGACAGCACAAACCCCUAGAUGGUAGUACUAGCUUAUGAUCAAACCCUAUACACCUUUGAGGAAAAGAAAGAAUAUAUAGAAAAGAACAUGAGAGAGAAAAAACAAAGUUACAUGUUAUUUGGUCUUCCCCAUCUAUCACCAUCACUGUCCAUCUACCAACAGACUGUAGAUUGCUGCUACCUCCAAUUAGAGUACUGUAAUUUGAUGCUGAGCUUGUUGCCAUGGCAUUUUGCUGCUUGAUUUGCUUGCUCGACUCAGGUCAGCAGGUCAGGGAACAGCUUGUAGCAGUUGGGCUCCUUCUCCUUCUCCGGCUCCGGUGCCGAUGAGGAUGAAGACGGUGAGGGCUGGCUGGACCUAUGGCGGGGGAACUCGGACAGCAUCUGCACCACCUCCCUCAUCGUCGGCCGCUCGACGCUGUUCUCCUGGACGCAGAGCAUGGAUACGAAGAAGAGGUGCGCGACCUCGUCCAUGGCCACCGUGCUAAGCCGCCGGUCGACGACCUUGGGCACGCCCUCCCGCCGGCCGUCAGUGACCCGCUUCGCCCACUGCACGAUGUCGACCCCUUCCCCGAAGUCCCCCACCGGCCGCCUGCCGGUGACGAGCUCGAGGAGGACCACCCCGAAGCUGUACACGUCACUCUUCUCGUCCACCCUCAGGGUAUAAGCGUACUCUGUAAAAACAACAAGAUCACAAUUAACAUACUAUUCACAUUUCUCGUUUUUAUCUCGAAAACACAAUAAUCAGACUAAUAUUGAAUUCAAAUGCUAGGAACUUAAACAUGGGACCAUUCCCAACAUGAAUCCAUGCGCUGUGAUCAUAUACUAAGAUACUAUCCUGAAUUCCUGAUCUCCUAGCGAGAACAAAUCUAUGUGUGCACACCUUAGUAGUUAAUCUAUGUUUAAAAGCAUUCUAGGGCAAUGUGAGCAUGAGCUAGCGAUUUGAAUAGUACAGAGACCGGCUAGUGAAGCGAGGAAGGAGGACAGAGGCAAGUGCGUACAACAUUCUUGGGCGAAUCCCAAGAGAAACCGCAUGCAUCCACACCAUUGUCGAAUCUUUCCCAUGCACAUAAACAGAUAUUCUACCAAGCUCGUCAAAUCCAAGGAAAAUUCUUCUCCCUGAUCAAGAGAUCACUCCUCCUCUCCCAUACCUAAGCUCCGUCAAAUCAAAUAUCAAAGGCCCAUGCCGCUGCCCUAAGAUCCUGCCAAAUCCCAAACACGUAAAGAGAGGAGCAAAGCAUUCGACGUUAACAGUGAAGCCGCCCGUCCCGUUCGAAAGAAAGAAAAGUAUUCGUACUCCGUAAUGAACAGCGUGGCCGGCCGCGCCGUUGGAUGGCACUCGUGGCUUUUGGGCUUUGGCGACGGACGUAAAACAGCAAAAAGAGGCUGCGAGAGCUGCUUUGGCAAGGCCCCAGGAGGAGGACUGGAGGAGAUGGACCUGCAAAGGACGAUGAGGCUUUCUUACUGGAGUAAGCCCCAUGCCGGUCAAAGAUACAGCAGCGGAACCCAAUCCCUGUGUGUGUGUGUGGCCGUGGAAGCGCCGGGACCAGCAACAAUACGUACUCCGGUACACGGGAGUCUCUGGCUCUGGAC